rnacentral:lncRNA from 1 species
CUCAAUGAUUUAACAGUACUGCCUAUAUACACAUGGUAUGUCUUAUCAUGAUUAUCGAAUAAUGGAAUUAAAUAUACACCUGCAGCAUCAUAUAUGGAAACUUUCGGCUUAUAAUUACAUAGUGAUCUAUAAAUUGUGUUAUGGUUGUUGCAGGGGAGCACGUAGUUAUGUCUUUUGAGGGCCUUUUGUAUAGGAUCAAAGAUAUUAUGGUAUGGAAUCGCACUUAUAUAUUUAAGUUGGACAUUGUCAUUAUUUUGGUUAUUAGAAGUUGUGUUAUUUUCAAGAAUUAUGCUGUUCAAAAUACCUUCUAUAAACUUAUGGUUAUAGCCAUGCAUAUGUGCUUGCUUCAUAAUAAGGCUGUAUUCAUUAUUUAUAACUUCUUGUAGCAAACAGU